CACGCAGGUGGUUGUCUAAGACGGACGUGAAAGCUCCUGGCUUAACUGGGAGAGGUCGUUGGUGACUGGAUGACUUGAGGCGAGGAGAGGGGUGUAGAAUUCCCGGUGUAGUGGUGGAAUGCGUAGAGAUCGGGAGGAAUACCAGUGGCGAAAGCGACACCCUGGCCUUGGCCUGACGCUCAGGUGCGAAAGCGUGGGGAGCGAACG
rnacentral:rRNA from 1 species